UGGGGGAUAUUGCACAAUGGGCGAAAGCCUGAUGCAGCGACGCCGCGUGGGGGAUGAAGGCCUUCGGGUUGUAAACUUCUUUUGCUCUGAACAAGGCAUGCUAAUGGGUGUGUUGAGUGUAGGGGUUGAUUAGCGCCGGCUAACUACGUGCCAGUAGCCGCGGUAAUACGUAGGGCGCGAGCGUUGUCCGGAAUUAUUGGGCGUAAAGGGCUUGUAGGUGGCUGGUUGCGUCUGUCGUGAAAGCUCAUGGCUUAACUGUGGGUUUGCGGUGGGUACGGGCUGGCUUGAGUGCAGUAGGGGAGGCUGGAAUUCCUGGUGUAGCGGUGGAAUGCGCAGAUAUCAGGAGGAAUACCGGUGGCGAAGGCGGGUCUCUGGGCUGUUACUGACACUGAGGAGCGAAAGCAUGGGGAGCGAACAGG
rnacentral:rRNA from 1 species